GAGCGAUCAUAAGGGAGCUGACUGCAAAUCUGCCGUCAUCGACUUCAAGGUUCGACUCGAGCAAUAGUGAGAGAACGUUGCCGCCGGCAACGGCCCGAAGGGUGAGGAGCUUUAGCUCCGAAUAAUCCUUCCCGCUAUAGAA
rnacentral:sRNA from 1 species